GAUCUCUUUGAGGCCCGUUAUCGGAAUGAGAACAAUUCAAAUCCUUUAACGAGGAUCUAGCGGAGGGCAAGUCUGGUGCCAGCAGCCGCGGUAAUUCCAGCUCCGCAGGUGUAUAUCUAUGCUGCUGCGGUUAAAAAGCUCGUAGUUGGAUCUGCGUGCUCGGAACUGGUUGGCUCACUGAGUUCAAACUGGUCUCCGGCGCUUUAUUGGCUGGUUUUCCCUUGAUGCUCUUAACCGGGUGUCUUGGGUGGCUAGCACGUUUACUUUGAAAAAAAUUAGAGUGCUCAAUACAGGCGUAAAGCCUUGAAUAGUGGUGCAUGGAAUAAUAGAAUAGGACCUCGGCUCUAUUUUGUUGGUUUUCGGAACGCGAGGUAAUGAUUAAGAGGGACAGACGGGGGCAUUCGUAUUGCGACGUUAGAGGUGAAAUUCUUGGAUCGUCGCAAGACGGACGACUGCGAAAGCAUUUGCCAAGAAUGUUUUCAUUAAUCAAGAACGAAAGUUAGAGGUUCGAAGGCGAUCAGAUACCGCCCUAGUUCUAACCGUAAACGAUGCCAACUAGCGAUUCGCAGGCGUUAAACAACGACCUUGCGGGCAGCUUCCCGGAAACGAAAGUGUUCGGGUUCCGGGGGAAGUAUGGUUGCAAAGCUGAAACUUAAAGGAAUUGACGGAAGGGCACCACCAGGAGUGGAGCCUGCGGCUUAAUUUGACCCAACACGGGAAAACUCACCCGGCCCGGACACCGUAAGGAUUGACAGAUUGAGAGCUCUUUCUUGAUUCGGUGGGUGGUGGUGCAUGGCCGUUCUUAGUUGGUGGAGCGAUUUGUCUGGUUUAUUCCGAUAACGAACGAGACUCUGGCCUACUAAAUAGUGGGCGGAUUCUUUCUGUCCGCAACACUUCUUAGAGGGACAAGCGGUGUUCAGCCGCACGAGAUUGAGCAAUAACAGGUCUGUGAUGCCCUUAGAUGUCCGGGGCUGCACGCGCGCUACACUGAAGGAAUCAGCGUGCUUUCUGACCUUGCCCGAAAGGGCUGGGUAACCCGAUGAAAAUCCUUCGUGAUUGGGAUAGGGACUUGCAAUUAUUUCCCUUGAACGAGGAAUUCCCAGUAAGUGUGGGUCAUAAGCUCGCGUUGAUUACGUCCCUGCCCUUUGUACACACCGCCCGUCGCUGCCCGGAACUGAGCCGUUUCGAGAAGAACAGGGACCGUCGUUGAAGGGCCUUAACGGGCUUUUCUCUGAUAGAAACUGUU
rnacentral:rRNA from 1 species